rnacentral:rRNA from 1 species
AGAGUUUGAUCAUGGCUCAGGAUGAACGCUGGCGGCGUGCUUAAUACAUGCAAGUCGAACGGAGACAGUAGCAAUAUUGUCUUAGUGGCGAACGGGUGAGUAACGCGUUGGUGACCUGCCCCGAAGAGGGGGAUAACAGUCCGAAAGGAUUGCUAAUACCCCAUGUGGUCAUAUGGAUUAGAUGCCUAAUGACUAAACGGAUUUAUUCGCUUCGGGAGGGGCCUGCGUCCCAUCAGCUAGUUGGUAAGGUAAUGGCUUACCAAGGCUAUGACGGGUAGGGGACCUGAGAGGGUGGCCCCCCACAAUGGAACUGAAACACGGUCCAUACACCUACGGGUGGCAGCAGUAGGGAAUAUUGGUAAUCUGGGAAACCGGGAACCAGCAACGCCGCGUGCACGAUGAAGGCCUUCGGGUCGUAAAGUGCUUUUUGAAGGGAUGAGGAAGGACAGUACCUUCAGAAUAAGCCUCGGCUAACUACGUGCCAGCAGCCGCGGUAAAACGUAGGAGGCGAGCGUUAUCCGGAUUUACUGGGCGUAAAGCGUGUGUAGGCGGUUUGAUAAGUUGGAUGUGAAAGCUCCCGGCUCAACUGGGAGAGGUCGUUCAAAACUAUCAGACUAGAGAGUGGUAGAGGGAGGUGGAAUUCCGCGUGUAGUGGUGAAAUGCGUAGAUAUGCGGAGGAACACCAGUGGCGAAAGCGGCCUCCUGGCCCAUUUCUGACGCUCAGACACGAAAGCUAAGGUAGCAAACGGGAUUAGAGACCCCGGUAGUCUUAGCUGUAAACGAUGUGAACUUAGUGUCGGUGGGGUUAAAUCCAUCGGUACUGAAGCUAACGCGAUAAGUUCACCGCCUGAGGACUACGGCCGCAAGGUUAAAACUCAAAGGAUUG